UGAGGAAUAUUGGACAAUGGAUGGAAAUCUGAUCCAGCCAUGCCGCGUGCAGGAAGACGGCCCUAUGGGUUGUAAACUGCUUUUGUAUGGGAGCAAUAAGGACUACGUGUAGUUUGAUGAGAGUACCAUACGAAUAAGCAUCGGCUAACUCCGUGCCAGCAGCCGCGGUAAUACGGAGGAUGCGAGCGUUAUCCGGAUUUAUUGGGUUUAAAGGGUGCGUAGGCGGCGAUAUAAGUCAGUGGUGAAAUAUUUCGGCUUAACCGAGAGACUGCCAUUGAUACUGUGUUGCUAGAAUAUGGUUGCUGUGAGUGGAAUGUGUGGUGUUGCGGUGAAAUGCUUAGAUAUCACACAGAAUAUCGAUUGCGAAGGCAGCUCACAAAGCCAUUAUUGACGCUGAGGCACGAAAGUGCGGGGAUCAAACA
rnacentral:rRNA from 1 species